UUUGCAGCACACCUAUAUUAAAGCUUCUUGACUUGCUGAUUUGGCAAACCUGUGCAUGUAUACAGUUGUGGAAUAUUUUAAACAAUUCAUGAGAACUCAGUGAUCCCAGCUAGUUAUGAUCCACAGCUUAUAGAAACCCUGGCAUGAGGAAUACUACAUUAUUGUACAGGAAAAUAUUUGGAAGCACUUUAGUAGGAACCAUACCAUUUACUGAUCCAUUUGCACUGUUUGUGCUGUGUGGGACUGUCACCAUGCAUAAGAAAUUUGUUGGCAUGUGUGAAGAAACUGUGGUACCUGGUGAUGAGAAACCUUCUUAACUGUGGGUGGAGUGCUCCAGAGGUGUGACCCUAUCCAUUGGUACUACAAAGAGAUUUAAGAUACUUAGAGCAGUGACUGAAGAUUACUGGCUUAUGGAAUGUGGUGCUUGUAGUGUGGUAGAUAUUUACCAACAUUUCAGAGGAACCUGCUGCCUCCUUCAUCAGGUUGUGAAGAAGGAUGGAGCAGGUUCCUUUGAAACAUUGGUCACUACCAGACUACACAGUAUCACAUCUGAGAAGAGAGGAGUCUUCACUACAAGGAUUUCCUGUGUGGAUACUGAUGCUGAGGUGCUCCAGAGUGUGAACUGAGCAGGGAGCUUCCAGGAAUUCCUCACCUGCCCUUUGUGACCCAGGAAGGAACUUUCCUGUCACAUGCUUGCUCUGUGCACCGAAUAUGAGGCAUCCCUGUUGUGAAGGUUUGGUAGAACAUAAGGAUGCUUAUGGAUAGCUUUGCGCUGGAGAGGACAUGUGUGGGCCCAGCACAGAAUUUAAUUUCUCAGGAGAUAGUACGCAAAACACUCUUCAGUGAUUUCAAGUGCUUCUUAUCAGCAACUAGUACAUACAUAUCAUGGACAAGGGGAAGACAUGGGCAUGCCUAGCUGAGUAAAAAAGUCUGUGACCCUGUCUGAACGUACUUGUUCUGGAGCUAAGCUAUCUCAUUCUGUAAGCUCUAUAAGAAUGCUGGUAUACUCAUACAUGAUGAAUGAUUAUUUUAUACUUGACUUCUGUGCUAGUGCAAUGGGAUUAUAUCACAAUAAAUGGUAAUUAUUGUUAAUUUAUCAUAUUUCCAUGUCAUAAACUUGUAUAUGUAUGGCUAAUUAAUCUAUUCCACAUAUUAUUUUAAAUUAAAAUGUACCACAUCCCUGUUCUCAACAAAAUAUAAGUCUCUACAGUUGCCCAUAUUUCCCUAUCACCAUCCCAAAGGAAAUAUACAAGCUUAAUAAUAUGGCGCUGCAGUGCUCAGUAUGUAGUCAAAUACUUGUUAUGUUUCAACAUUCUAACCUUGUCUGAGAAACAAGGGAGUAGCCUCA